rnacentral:rRNA from 1 species
AGUGAACGCUGGCGGUAGGCCUAACACAUGCAAGUCGAACGGCAGCACAGUAAGAGCUUGCUCUUACGGGUGGCGAGUGGCGGACGGGUGAGGAAUACAUCGGAAUCUACUUUUUCGUGGGGGAUAACGUAGGGAAACUUACGCUAAUACCGCAUACGACCUACGGGUGAAAGCAGGGGAUCUUCGGACCUUGCGCGAUUGAAUGAGCCGAUGUCGGAUUAGCUAGUUGGCGGGGUAAAGGCCCACCAAGGCGACGAUCCGUAGCUGGUCUGAGAGGAUGAUCAGCCACACUGGAACUGAGACACGGUCCAGACUCCAACGGGAGGCAGCAGUGGGGAAUAUUGGACAAUGGGCGCAAGCCUGAUCCAGCCAUACCGCGUGGGUGAAGAAGGCCUUCGGGUUGUAAAGCCCUUUUGUUGGGAAAGAAAAGCAGCAGGUUAAUACCCCGCUGUUCUGACGGUACCCAAAGAAUAAGCACCGGCUAACUUCGU